GUGGGGAAUCUUGCGCAAUGGGCGAAAGCCUGACGCAGCCAUGCCGCGUGAAUGAUGAAGGUCUUAGGAUUGUAAAAUUCUUUCACCGGGGACGAUAAUGACGGUACCCGGAGAAGAAGCCCCGGCUAACUUCGUGCCAGCAGCCGCGGUAAUACGAAGGGGGCUAGCGUUGCUCGGAAUUACUGGGCGUAAAGGGCGCGUAGGCGGAUCGUUAAGUCAGGGGUGAAAUCCCAGAGCUCAACUCUGGAACUGCCCUUGAUACUGGCGAUCUUGAGUGUGAAAGAGGUAUGUGGAACUCCGAGUGUAGAGGUGAAAUUCGUAGAUAUUCGGAAGAACACCAGUGGCGAAGGCGACAUACUGGCUCAUUACUGACGCUGAGGCGCGAAAGCGUGGGGAGCAAACAGGAUUAGAUACCCUGGUAGUCC
rnacentral:rRNA from 1 species